rnacentral:lncRNA from 1 species
UGGGUCAACACCAAUCACCACCAAUAUUUUCAAACUUAUUUUCUCCAUCUCAUGCAGUAUGCAGAUCCACUCGUCCUCAUCAGCCGUAGAUAAAGCAUGACGAGCAUCCAACACAAGACCUGACAUAGAAUCAGUCUACAUAAUAAAAAUAAAAUAAGCAAUAUAUUGUAAAACAUAAAACAAAAAUAUAACAGAACUACAUAAAAUAUUUUUUAAUUUUAAUUAUUAGAAAUAAAGAUAUUGAUAUAAAAUAUAAUUUUCAUGGUCU